AUGAAGGAAGCCCUUGGGGACCUGGACGUGAGAUGGUUUGCGUGGCUUUUGCUACCCUAUCUUUAUGCAGUGUGCUGCAACUUUUGUGCUGGACUUCUGAACUUUCACAAAGGCUCUGCAGGUGAUUGUCUAAGACAGCAUUCUUCACGGGCUUCCAGACCACAACCAAGAGGGAUUGGAGCUGGUUUAUGGACCAUCACAGGGUCAAUAGCCAAGACCAAGGUCAGGACAUUCAGAGCCACGGAGAGACUGAAAGAAAGAAACAGACAGAAACUGCCCCUGCGACCUCAGGUCCUGCGUCCCAGGUGUUGCAGUCACACUCUUUGGGUGAGUCACUUCUCUUCCCUUGGGUGGGGACAAUGACAGGAAUGGAAGGGAGGGCGGAAGCUCCUACUGUCUGGGCCAAGGCAGGAACUUGAGUUGUGGAAGAGAAUAUAUUUUAUUUUAAUCCCCUUUCUUAUACCAUUUAGUAAAAUCAGACAUUGAUCAUAAAUCAGACAUUUCACUCUGGAAUGCUGUUGAACUGAACAAUUGAGGUGAAAGGGUGGGGAGGCUUUCAUAUCUUUUUUAUGAAAAGUAGUGGUGGUUACCGUGGUGUAUUUUACCUACAGAGGUACUUAAAAUAUAUGGUAGGUAGCUUUGAUUUCUCUUUCUCCUUUUUAAAAAGUUGUUAACAAAGUGGUGCCUGGCUGACUCCAUUGGUGGAGCAUGCAAUUCUGGGUUGUGAGUUCUAGCCCCAAGUUGGGUGUAGAGAUUACUUAAGCAUAAAAUCUUAAAAAGAAAGUUAACAAAGAUUCUCAACUUAUGUCUUUCAAUGUUAAAAUAUCAGACCCCUUUGAGCAUUUUCAUCAAGCAACCAGUUAAUUCAUUGAAAAAGAGAUAAUCAGACCAAGCAUUUAUUUAAAUGACUUAUUGUUUAUCUGAAUUGCCUCACUGCUUAAGAGAAUUGACCUCAGUUCUGUCGGGGUUGUUAAUCCAGCAGCCCUGUGGAUACAGACAGCCUCUUUUUCUCUGUCAAAUCACAACAUAAUAAAGUUUUGUCUACAUUUCCA
rnacentral:lncRNA from 1 species